GGCGAAAGCGCGCGCAGGCGGCCUUUUAAGUCUGAAUGUGAAAGCCCACGGCUCAACCGUGGAGGGUCAUUGGAAACUGGAAGGCUUGAGUGCAGAAGAGAAGAGCGGAAUUCCACGUGUAGCGGUGAAAUGCGUAGAGAUGUGGAGGAACACCAGUGGCGAAGGCGGCUCUUUGGUCUGUAACUGACGCUGAGGCGCGAAAGCGUGGGGAGCGAACAGGAUUAGAUACCCUGGUAGUCCACGCCGUAAACGAUGAGUGCUAAGUGUUGGGGGGUUUCCGCCCCUCAGUGCUGCAGCUAACGCAUUAAGCACUCCGCCUGGGGAGUACGGCCGCAAGGCUGAAACUCAAAGGAAUUGACGGGGGCCCGCACAAGCGGUGGAGCAUGUGGUUUAAUUCGAAGCAACGCGAAGAACCUUACCAGGUCUUGACAUCCCGCUGACCGGUCUGGAGACAGAUCUUCCCCUUCGGGGGCAGCGGUGACAGGUGGUGCAUGGUUGUCGUCAGCUCGUGUCGUGAGAUGUUGGGUUAAGUCCCGCAACGAGCGCAACCCUUGAUCUUAGUUGCCAGCAUUUAGUUGGGCACUCUAAGGUGACUGCCGGUGACAAACCGGAGGAAGGUGGGGAUGACGUCAAAUCAUCAUGCCCCUUAUGACCUGGGCUACACACGUGCUACAAUGGAUGGUACAAAGGGCUGCAAGACCGCGAGGUUUAGCCAAUCCCAUAAAACCAUUCUCAGUUCGGAUUGCAGGCUGCAACUCGCCUGCAUGAAGCUGGAAUCGCUAGUAAUCGCGGAU
rnacentral:rRNA from 1 species